GAUGAACGCUGACAGAAUGCUUAACACAUGCAAGUCCACUUGAACUUCGGUUUGGGUGGCGGACGGGUGAGUAACGCGUAAAGAACUUGCCUCACAGAUAGGGACAACAUUUGGAAACGAAUGCUAAUACCUGAUAUUAUGAUUAUACGGCAUCGUAUAAUUAUGAAAGCUAUAUGCGCUGUGAGAGAGCUUUGCGUCCCAUUAGCUAGUUGGAGAGGUAACGGCUCACCAAGGCGAUGAUGGGUAGCCGGCCUGAGAGGGUGAUCGGCCACAAGGGGACUGAGACACGGCCCUUACUCCUACGGGAGGCAGCAGUGGGGAAUAUUGGACAAUGGACCAAGAGUCUGAUCCAGCAAUUCUGUGUGCACGAUGAAGUUUUUCGGAAUGUAAAGUGCUUUCAGUUGGGAAGAAAAAAAUGACGGUACCAACAGAAGAAGUGACGGCUAAAUACGUG
rnacentral:rRNA from 1 species